GAUGAACGCUGGCGGCGUGCCUAAUACAUGCAAGUCGAGCGAACAGACGAGGAGCUUGCUCCUCUGACGUUAGCGGCGGACGGGUGAGUAACACGUGGAUAACCUACCUAUAAGACUGGGAUAACUUCGGGAAACCGGAGCUAAUACCGGAUAAUAUAUUGAACCGCAGGGUUCAAUGGUGAAAGACGGUUUUGCUGUCACUAAUAGAUGGAUCCGCGCCGCAUUAGCUAGUUGGUAAGGUAACGGCUUACCAAGGCGACGAUGCGUAUCCGAGCUGAGAGGGUGAUCGGCCACACUGGAACUGAGACACGGUCCAGACUCCUACGGGAGGCAGCAGUAGGGAAUCUUCCGCAAUGGGCGAAAGCCUGACGGAGCAACGCCGCGUGAGUGAUGAAGGUCUUCGGAUCGUAAAACUCUGUUAUUAGGGAAGAACAAAUGUGUAAUUAACUAUGCACGUCUUGACGGUACCUAAUCAGAAAGCCACGGCUAACUACGUG
rnacentral:rRNA from 1 species